GGUCGCCUUGGGGUGCAGGGGGUGGGGCUCAGACUAACGGAGGAGCCUACCUCCUAGGUACUGGCACGGAAGAUGGCUGGGACUGGCCCUGGGCCUGAGGCAGGAGGGGUGUGGACCCCCGGAUCCCCGGCUCUUACCCUGCUUCAACUACCAACAGCACCCGGGGGCCCUGACUCCGUUGGCCCUGGUGGUCCUGUCCCCGCUGUUCUGUUCAGCCUUUCCCUCUGCCCCGGCUCCCAGCACUGGCCAGGUGGCAGUACCACGACGAAGGGACCCGGGUUCCCAGUCUCUCCUUCUAGGACAGGAGUUCGGCCCCGGACCUCUCCUUUCGGGAAACGAAGAGUGAGGAUCAGACCUUAGGAAGUGAGGAGUACAAUAGGCAACCAGAUAAAUCUUUAUUUGCGCCUUGGUACUGCGGCCUUUUCCUUCGGUACCGUCGGCUCCUGGCUCUGGGACAGCCGACUCUCCGGAACCCCGUCCUGCGGCGCAGCUCCCUUGUCGGUGCGGAACCGGGACUUCACUGAAUGGAUCACCGUCCCGUACCGAAAGCAAAGCAACACUGAUAGAAGGCGAAAGAAAGAGCAGUCCUGGG